ACAUUGGUAGUUCAAUAGUAAAAUUCUCACCUUCCAUGCAGGAGACCUGGGUUCCAUUCCCAGCCAAUACA
rnacentral:tRNA from 1 species